rnacentral:rRNA from 1 species
UGGGGAAUUUUGGACAAUGGGCGAAAGCCUGAUCCAGCAAUGCCGCGUGUGUGAAGAAGGCCUUCGGGUUGUAAAGCACUUUUGUCCGGAAAGAAAUCCUUGGCUCUAAUACAGUCGGGGGAUGACGGUACCGGAAGAAUAAGCACCGGCUAACUACGUGCCAGCAGCCGCGGUAAUACGUAGGGUGCAAGCGUUAAUCGGAAUUACUGGGCGUAAAGCGUGCGCAGGCGGUUUGCUAAGACCGAUGUGAAAUCCCCGGGCUCAACCUGGGAACUGCAUUGGUGACUGGCAGGCUAGAGUAUGGCAGAGGGGGGUAGAAUUCCACGUGUAGCAGUGAAAUGCGUAGAGAUGUGGAGGAAUACCGAUGGCGAAGGCAGCCCCCUGGGCCAAAUACUGACGCUCAUGCACGAAAGCGUGGGGAGCAAACAGGAUUAGAUACCCUGGUAGUCCACGCCCUAAACGAUGUCAACUAGUUGUUGGGGACUUCAUUUCCUUAGUAACGUAGCUAACGCGUGAAGUUGACCGCCUGGGGAGUACGGUCGCAAGAUUAAAACUUAAAUGAAUUGACGGGGUCAUAGCUGUUUCCU